AGUCAAACAGUUUGCAGAUAUUUUUGUUGUUUUUGUAAAAAAAGGCUUUUUAUACAUAGGUAUGAGAAUGGUGUUGCAUAUUUAAUUGGAAGUGUUAGUUUAAGACUACAGUUGUAAUCUAUCACUAGCAUAGGAACUACAUUGUGUCAAACUGUGUUUAUUCUAAGGGAAACAGAGUGUGAAAUUUGUUAAUUUAUUUUGGAAUGGUUAUGGUUUAGUUGCGUGCCCAUAUUUGCUGGGUAUCUAUUAUGUGUAUUUACUACGUCUGGUCCUUCGGACCUGUGUUCUGUUUUGUCACAUGACAACAGGUUUGAUAUUACAAUGAUUGCUGAGUUUAAGUUCU